GACGAACGCUGGCUUCGUGCUUAACACAUGCAAGUCGAACGGAAAGGCCCUGCUUUUGUGGGGUGCUCGAGUGGCGAACGGGUGAGUAACACGUGAGUAACCUGCCCUUGACUUUGGGAUAACUUCAGGAAACUGGGGCUAAUACCGGAUAGGAGCUCCUGCUGCAUGGUGGGGGUUGGAAAGUUUCGGCGGUUGGGGAUGGACUCGCGGCUUAUCAGCUUGUUGGUGGGGUAGUGGCUUACCAAGGCUUUGACGGGUAGCCGGCCUGAGAGGGUGACCGGCCACAUUGGGACUGAGAUACGGCCCAGACUCCUACGGGAGGCAGCAGUGGGGAAUAUUGCACAAUGGGCGGAAGCCUGAUGCAGCAACGCCGCGUGCGGGAUGACGGCCUUCGGGUUGUAAACCGCUUUCGCCUGUGACGAAGCGUGAGUGACGGUAAUGGGUAAAGAAGCACCGGCUAACUACGUGCCAGCAGCCGCGGUGAUACGUAGGGUGCGAGCGUUGUCCGGAUUUAUUGGGCGUAAAGGGCUCGCAGGUGGUUGAUCGCGUCGGAAGUGUAAUCUUGGGGCUUAACCCUGAGCGUGCUUUCGAUACGGGUUGACUUGAGGAAGGUAGGGGAGAAUGGAAUUCCUGGUGGAGCGGUGGAAUGCGCAGAUAUCAGGAGGAACACCAGUGGCGAAGGCGGUUCUCUGGGCCUUUCCUGACGCUGAGGAGCGAAAGCGUGGGGAGCGAACAGGCUUAGAUACCCUGGUAGUCCACGCUGUAAACGGUGGGUACUAGGUGUGGGGUCCAUUCCACGGGUUCCGUGCCGUAGCUAACGCUUUAAGUACCCCGCCUGGGGAGUACGGCCGCAAGGCUAAAACUCAAAGGAAUUGACGGGGCCCCGCACAAGCGGCGGAGCAUGCGGAUUAAUUCGAUGCAACGCGUAGAACCUUACCUGGGUUUGACAUGGAUCGGGAGCGCUCAGAGAUGGGUGUGCCUCUUUUGGGGUCGGUUCACAGGUGGUGCGUGGCUGUCGUCAGCUCGUGUCGUGAGAUGUUGGGUUAAGUCCCGCAACGAGCGCAACCCUUGUUCACUGUUGCCAGCACGUUAUGGUGGGGACUCAGUGGAGACCGCCGGGGUCAACUCGGAGGAAGGUGGGGAUGACGUCAAGUCAUCAUGCCCCUUAUGUCCAGGGCUUCACGCAUGCUACAAUGGCUGGUACAGAGAGUGGCGAGCCUGUGAGGGUGAGCGAAUCUCGGAAAGCCGGUCUCAGUUCGGAUUGGGGUCUGCAACUCGACCUCAUGAAGUCGGAGUCGCUAGUAAUCGCAGAUCAGCAACGCUGCGGUGAAUACGUUCCCGGGGCU
rnacentral:rRNA from 1 species